rnacentral:misc_RNA from 1 species
CUGCCGAGUGGUGCACGGUUCUGCCGCUCCCGUCUCGGUCGUGGAUCCCCGCCCUCCUCCCCACCGCCGCCGCGACCGCGCACGCUCCUCGCAUCCCGCCCGCCGCGCUUCUUUCCAUCCUCUUCCUUCCAUACCCACUCACCGCCCCUCGGCUCUCCGUCGAUGGAAGGGCGCCAUUGACGCCCCGCGAUCCUCGCUACCAUCCCCACGAGGCCAUACCCUCCCCGCACACACAGAUCUUGGAAGAGGCCGCCACCCCGCCCCCGUUCUUGGCCCCAUCACCCUCCCCACGCGAUGCUCGCCUACCCCACACAAUGCACCCCUUCCUUGCCUUGGUGGCAAGCUUGUCGACGUCGAGGCAGAUGCGGGAGAUGGACUUGGCGGCCCGCUCCACCUUGUCGGCGCGCCGCUGCUCGAGGAGGCGCUUGGCC